UACGUAGGUGGCAAGCGUUGUCCGGAUUUACUGGGCGUAAAGAGCGCGCAGGCGGUCGUUCAAGUCGAGUGUGAAAGCCCCCGGCUCAACUGGGGAGGGUCAUUCGAUACUGAUCGACUUGAAGGCAGGAGAGGGAAGUGGAAUUCCCGGUGUAGUGGUGAAAUGCGUAGAUAUCGGGAGGAACACCAGUGGCGAAGGCGACUUCCUGGCCUGUUCUUGACGCUGAGGCGCGAAAGCGUGGGGAGCGAACAGG
rnacentral:rRNA from 1 species